UCCCUGGAGGACUAGUGGUUAGGCCUCAGCGUGCUCACCACUGCGGCCCGGGUUCGAUUGCUGGCCAGAGAA
rnacentral:tRNA from 1 species